rnacentral:tRNA from 1 species
GCCCCUAUAGCUCAACUGGCAGAGCAACUGACUUUUAAUCAGUGGGUUGCAGGUUCAAAUCCUGCUGGGGGCA